AUAGCAACAGCAGCUGACACUCAGUGUGACAUACAAAAGAGGGAAUAAGGGAGACAGUGAAUGAAGACUACAAGCCCCCUCUAGUGGGGACGGCUGCCACCCAGCACUAGCACUGUCACCAUGUGGGAACACUGACUUGUGCAGCCACAUAGUUCUGUUUGCAAAAAAUCCAGGCGUUUGUGUUAUUCCAUCUUCCAUCCUAUUCUGAAAUGUUGAAUUGGUUUGAACACUGUGGGCCCCUACUGAUGGGCUGAACUUUCCCAGAGGAGCACACGCCACGCCUCCUGUACACUCAAAUGUUGUCACGCUUCGCUAAAUAUUUGUAUAAAUAAAGUAGGAAGAGGGUCAUCUGUUUAGUUCCCUUUUCCUAUGAAAUAUAGAAAUACAUACAUAUUUACAAAUACACACAGGUUAUAUAUGUAUAAAACAAAUUCGGAUUAACCCAGUAGUGUGCAGGACUCUACCAGGCCCCGUUCAAUCUCCCGUCCCCAACAGCCCUGACCCAGGAGCAUGUUCAAAAAGAAGCAACUCAGAUGCAAUAUAACAGCUGCCCCUCGAGGUGAGACUUGAUUUAGAACUCCUAUUUGAAGCCAUUGCUUGCUUCCUCUGUCCACAGCUUCUUAGUCCAUGGACUACAAGAAGUGACUCCUGCUCAGAAGCCACUCGGACUUCCUGUUCCCAUGUGUCUGACUUCUGGCCUCCCUAAAAGGUCAUUCUCAAGAUCAUAGUAAGACUGGCCUUGUGAGACUUGGCCACUACUUACCUGGGGCAGCUGGCCAUGCCUGAGAGGCUUAUAGGACAACGGGUGUUUCUGAGGUCUUUUUCCUGUAAGGGGGAGGGUAUGUUUUACAGUCAGCAGCCACUCCCAGCAGCUGGCCGUCCUGUCAUCCUGUGAUGAAGGGCAUCUGGGAUACCACUAGAUGCAGUAGUCACAGAGCCCAACACAGCCCUGUUAUGGCCACACAGAGGGCAAGUGGAUGUCACUGAAGCGUCUGUAGGAGUUGAGGGCUGGGCCACAGGACCCGGGGGCUCCAGAAGACGAGAGAGAGAUCAGCAGAAUCCACGGGAGCUCAGAGCACCUCCAGCAGAGUGGGAGAAGGAGACGCCAUGCCAAAAAAAGAAUGAAUGCGCCAUUUCCGCGGCGCCACUGGGGAACAUGGUUCAAGAUGUGGCGAUGUGGCGAGCACCCUGGGGCGGCUCCCUGGGUAACAGUCAGGUCCCUCCUGGGCUUCCGUCCGCAGCCGCAGCAGCCGCCAUGACGGCGGCCCCAGGAGGUCGGGGACAGCGAGUUUCCGUUAACGGCGAGGACGGUCUAGACUGGCGAGGAGACAGUGGAGCUCACCAGCUUCCUGCUCGUGCCACCCUGGGAAGCAGCAGGUACUAGCCCAGGCACCUACGUCACUGCCGCCCUUGUGGGAGAUCCCAGUGGAGGUCAGGCUCCGUCCUGAGGUCUGGCACAGCCCUGGCUGUUGCAUGCAUUUGGGGAGUGAACCAGCAGAUGUAAGGAGGCAGGGAUGUCUGCAGUGCCUACUGCUACGCUAAUGGAUUCUUCCAGAAAUGUCAAGGUUGAUUAUCUACCCAAGGGGUGGUCCAUAAAUCUGCUUGCCACCCAUCCCUCCCCUAGAGAAGCCCACACAUAAAAGGAGCUGGGAGAAAGCAGACUUCAGCAGCCUUGGGAGCGGCUCCACUGUUGUCCCCGAAUCACUUACGUUUCUGUGGCCCCUGACCGAGCUUCCCUCAAAGGGCUCAGAACCCAGAAGAGCAGUGCCAAGUUAAGGGACUUGGAGUAAAGGGAAGCUGGAUCUUCCCCUGAGCUCUUCUGACCUCGAGAUCCACCAAGAAGUCAAGCGUGCACUCACCUGCAAGGUGCUGGGCAGCGCCUCGCAUCUGGUCCCAAGUAACUCCACAGCUGGCGAAAGGCCGGAGAGCCCUCCUGUGUUUUCCUUCGCUUCCAGCUGUGUGCCGGAAGGUGUUGGUCCCAGGGCUUACCUUUGCAGAUGAAAGUGAGUCUGAUCAGUGUAUCCACAACAGCAAAGGGAACAGCAACUCGGGCCUGAUCCCGACGUACAGAGAAGGUUCGGAGGUCCGCGGGAUAUGGUGUGAGUAGGCAGGCAGCUAGUUAAGCCUGGAUAAGUCAAACCCAUGCAGUCCUGCAUGUUAUCUCUGUACCCGCCAUUCAAAGAUACCGCCUCCCCAGGAUGCCCCUGUGUCUCACCUGGAAGCAAGAAGAGGAGACGCAUCAUCAUAUGGAUAUUGAACUCCGCAUGGAGGGGCCAGUCCUGUGGCUCCGCAGGUUAAGCCGCCUGUCUGCAGUGCCAGCAUCCCAUAUGGGUGCUCCACUUCCAAUCCAGCUCCCUGCUAUUGCACCUGGGAAAGCAACGGAAGGUGGCCCAGGUGCUUGGACUCCUGCACCCAUGUGGGAGACCCAGAAGAAGCUCCUGGCUCCCGGCUCCUGGCUUCAGUAUGGCCCAACCCCAGCCAGUGCAGCCAUUUAGGGAGUGAACCAGCAUAUGGAAGAUCUCUCUCUCUCUCUCUCCCUCCUCUCUCUCUCUCUCUCUCUCUGUGUGUCCUUCUUUCUCUCAACUCUGACUUUCAAAUAAGUACAUUUUUUUUAAUUUGACAGGUAGAGUUAUAGACAGAGAGACAGAAAGGUCUUCCUUCUGUUGGUUCACCCCCCCAAAUGGCCGCAACACCUGGUGCUGCGCCCAUCUGAAGCCAGGAGCCAGGUGCUUCCUCCUGCUCUCCCAUGGGGUGCAGGGCCCAAGCACUUGGACCAUCCUCCACUGCCCUCCCGGGCCACAGCAGAGAGCUGGACUGGAAGAGGAGCAACCGGGUCUAGAACCCGGCACCCAUAUGGGCAGAGGAUUAAUCAAGUGAGCCACAGAGUCAGCCCAAGUACAUCAUAUUUUUUAAAUUAUAAAAACCAUCACAGGGAGGGGCCAUAAAAUUCCCAGGUGGCGUCACACCUGCUGAAGCCCCACCCCCUACUCAUGAAAGAAGCUGAGAACUGGGGAGAGCCUCUUUCUGCCACAGACCAUGGCUGGGGGUGCCUUGCAGGCUUGGUUUUCUCUUUCUCUCCCUCUGACCCACUCAUUGUGGGUACUUCUCUGUGUGAGGCAGCGCACACACGUGCAUAAAGUGAACAUUUUCUGUCUCACCUUCAAUAAAUCCCAUGGCUAUUUGCGCA